rnacentral:lncRNA from 1 species
UGGGUUCAUCGGUUUUUGCCUCUAAGUACAUAUUAGUCGACUUGUAUGCUUUGUUCGUUGAACACUAAAUGAGGUAGCUCAAAUUCAUGGAUUAGUAUAUUAAAAACCUGAAUUGGGAGCAUGCUUAGUGAGUGAUGAUAAUUGAUACUUGUUGGACUUGGAUUUGACUUAGGAGAAAACCCCGAAUUGAUCGUCAUUUACAUACACUGCCGGAUUUAGCUCUAGGAGCCGUGUUGCAUUGUAUCGUCGUGGGCUUUGUGCGAUGGAUACCCAGGAUAGUGUAGCUUGUGUUUGUGCUCGUGCUGGGACGCCGAGCUUAUACUAGCUGAGUGUAGACUGUUACGGGGUGUCGGGCGCCGUCGGGGCAGGCGGUGGGCCCCAAAGUCGGUUUUGGUUACUUGGGUUUGGCUGGUUAGGGCCUGAUUGAGCUCGACAGAGCUACGCUGCAUACUCGGCUGGGUAGCUCCCCCGAGUGCCACUCCGGAGUUAGGCUUUGUGCUUUCGCGUCGGUGUCGGGUAGUGCAGGUUGGACUUGCUCUCCACUGAGGUUUAGAGUGGGGGUAGCUGUGCAGUCACAACCGGGCACGGGACGGGUGCGUUCACAGUCCCAGGGACGGGUGCGUUCACAGUCCCCUUCGGAUUGGGUCUGGUUGACUUGAGUCUAUAGGUGUUAGUUCUGGGCAUGAUAGCAUAGCGACUUGUAGCUGUAGAGAGUUUCCAGCUUCAUUUUCUUCUAUCUUGCUUACCCUGUAGACUUAGUGGGUGGACCGAUGUUGUUUAGGGCGGCACCCACUGAGGACUACUUGCUUUUAUAGUAGUUCUCACGCCCUCUUUCUUCCACCGAUGUUGCAGGGCCUUCUGUUUCGGCUGCUGCUCCUUCUGAGGCGGACCGCGGGAAAGGCGUGGCGAGUUAGAGCCUACCCUUCGAGUACAGUGCUAGAGGACUCCCGCUGCAGGUAGUGACAGUUUUUGUUCGGGCGCUUUUGUACAUACAGUUGAACUCGCUGGAGCGAGUAGUGUUCUUUUGUAUCCGUGGCUGAUGUAGGUAUAUAAAGUUUGUUAUUUCUACCUGCUUGUUUAUAGUUUACUUCAGCUCUAUACUACUGCUUGUAGUAUUGUAUGUUUAUACAGGUUCAGCUACGCUUCGUAUAUCGGAGAAAUUCUCUUGUAUACGGCGGAUUUGUCGGCGUGCCCGGGGGACUGUGCAGCCCGGGGCGUGACAACAGUAGAGUGUAGACUGUUUCAUACUGUCGGGUGCCGUCGCGGUUGACGGUGGAUCCAGAUUUCUAUAUCUUGCAUUAGAUUGUGCCAAGGGCAUGUGAAUUUUGUAGUUAGAUCAGUUUGACCUUGUUACUUUGACUAUAGUUUGUGAGAGCCUGAUUGAGCUUGACAGAGACACGCUUGCAUGCUCGGUUGGGUUGCGCCCACGAGUGCUGCUCCGGAGUCUUGUUACGUUGCUUUGCGUUGAUGUCGUAGUAGUUCGGUUUGGACAUUACUCUCUGCCGCCCGCCCACGAGGUGGUGUGCGGUGUAGUUGGACAGGCGGGACGGGUGUAUCACAGUCCCUAGUGAGAUUGGGUGAGUGAGAUGCAUAUUUAUAUUUACAGAUAGUUUGCAUUGGUUAGCAAUAGUAGAGUGGCAUGUAACUGUAGAUUUCUUAGCAGCUUUCCUUACUAUCCUUUGUGCAUAUUUCAGUAGAUUUAGUCGGUGAGCCGUUGAGGUCGGUGGCGAUACCCACUGAGGACUACUUGUUUUAUAGUAGUUUUCACACCAAGUUGUUUACACCUUUUUGUAGAGUCUUCGUCUGCGGCUGCUGCUGUUGCUAACUUGGACCGUGGGAAGGGAGUCGCGAGUUAGAUCCCUACUAGUCUUGUAGUUGUGUUACAGGAGGACCAUCCAGAGGUAGUUUUUGGGGCUUUCUGUGUACAUAAUGUUAUGUUGUUUUUGUACUCGCUGGAGUGAGUUGGGUUGUAGACUUUUAUAUGUACUGGACCCCUUUAUGUUAAUUAUAUAUUUCCUUCAGUUUAGCAGCUCUAUACUUCUGGUUGUGGCUAUGAUGUGAUUACAGGUAUAACUAUCUCUUCGUAUACACGGAGAACUCCUACGUAUACGGCAGGUCUGUUCGCGUGCCCGAGAAAACGUAUGAAUCUAGGGCAUGACAUUAAGAUAAAAUAUAAAAUUUAAAUUUUAAGUUUUAAAUUUUAAAUUUCAAAUUUUAAUAUUUUAAAUAUUAAAUUAUAAAUUGAAUUUAAAUAUUUUAAAUACUAAAUUUUGAAUAUUUUAAAAUUUAGUUUUAGUAAUUAAGAUAAAAUAUAAAAUUUUUAAAUUUUAAAUUUUAACUUUUAAAUUUCAAUUUCAUUGUAUUUUAAAACAUUAAAUUAUAAAUGAAUUAAAAAAAUUCAAUAUUUAAUUUCAAAUAUUGAAAUUUCAAUUUCAAAUGUUAAAAUUUAAAUUUUAAACUUCAACAAAUUUAUAUUUUAAAUUUAAAUUUAUAUUUUUAAAUAUUUAAUUUUAACAAUUUAGAUUUGAAAUGAACAAUUUUUAAACUUAAAUUUCAAAAUUUUACAUUUUAAAUUUUUAAGUUCAAGUGAAAAAAUUGCUAUACCGAGAGAGAAGUGAGAGUGAGAGAGAGAGUGAGGGGGGGGGGGGGUGCGCCGCUCGAGCCGCUUACCCAUGCCGCGCCAGCUCGCGCGCCCGCUGGUGGGGAAAGGAGAGAGAAAGAAAGAGAGAGGGGGGGCGCCCGCUCUAGCCUCCCACCUACGCCGCGCCCACCCUGCGCGCCCGCACCCGCCUCGCGCGCUCGUGAGUCUGCCUGUAGGGAGAGAGGGAGAGGGAGAGAGAGGGAAAAGAGAGGGGGGGAGAGGGAAGAGGAGAAAGGGGGAGAGAGAGAGUCUCGUCGCGACCAUCGCCGCUCACGCCCGCUCAAGCAGCUGGCCUGUACCGCGCCCGCCCACUCUGCCAUGUGCGCGCGGCCCGCUUGCGCCCCUCGCGCUCCCGUGCCCGCCCGUGCUGCCACUGCACAUGACCCGCGGCCGGCGCCCGCUUGCGCCCAUGCCCGCCCAUUUUGCCACAUGCGCGCGACCCGCGCUCCUCGUGCGCUCACGCUCGCCCGGAGGAGGCUUUGGUGGAACUCCACUGAAGGGAUCGAAGGGGCGCGAGAGGCAGAGACGGAGGCGCUGAGAAGCCAACACGUCGGUCACAGUAGAGCUCAUGAUUUAAUAUAUCUAUAGAUUAUAGAUAUCUAUAUCUAUAUAAGAUCCAGGGGCAGUGGGAGUUUUUUUAUUUUCCUUCUCUCUCUUCACAUGUAGAGAAGAGGAUUUAGAGUUUUUUUUAAUCCAAUUUAUUUUUUAUUACAAAAAAUUUAAAUGUAUAAUUAUUUAUAUCUAACUUUUAAAUAGUUUAGAUUGAAUGUAUUAAAUAUAAAUUUUAAUUUUAUAAUAUUAUUCAUUUAGAUAUAAAUUGUACAAUAAAAAAUAAAAAAAUUGAUGGAGUUUAAGUUAAUUUUUUAUUUUACUAAAUUUAGUUACGAAAAUCGCAUAAAAUACACUAAUUAAAUCUAUAAAGCUAAGCGACGCAUUCAAAUUUUGAAGUCAAAGUAUUAUUGAUUGACUCAAAUCUAAUAUACAGAAAAGCUGGAUAAUAAAAAUAAAAUUUUGCAAACUUGGAUAGCUAAUUUAAAAUGGUUCAUAAUUCAAAAAAAAUUAUAAAUUUUUACUUUGAUUUAAAUGUCAAACUUCAAUGCAAUAUUUAUAAUCUCAUGAGCGAUUAAUUUUACAUUUAAAAUCUUUUGAAAUAUCUAAAAUAUGAUUAAUUGAGUUUUAAUUUUAACAAUUAGGCUUUCUAAAAUUCAUGUAAUUUCCUUAUAUAAAAUUACUAAUUAAAAAAAGGACCAAUUGCUUAUAUACCUCUGAAAAAUUUUCGACUUUUUGAUUUACCCCACUUAGAAGGCUAAUAUUGAAAGUAUCUUUUUUACGUUCCAACCUAUUUCAAAUAUACCUCUAGAGUUAAAUUCUAUAAAUGAACUGUUAGCAAUAGCUGUUAUCUGUAUGAAAUUACUAUUUUACCCUUUCAAAUAUAUACUUCCACUAUCACCGACUUUUCUUAUUUGCCCUUAAAUUAGGGUUACAAAAAAAAUUUUAAUUUUAGUCUUUUCAAAUAUACCUGUAGUGUUCCUGAGCUUUGGAUAGGAUUGGCUUCAGUAUUAUAGACUGGUCGACAUCUCUGGAGAGUGUCGGACUGAGUCGGAGUCAAUUCUGCACGAAUUGGAUACAGAAUUGGACUCGGCGCACUCAAAUAAGCAAAACUGAAGUUUUGCCAGAUUCGGGCGCCCAGAACAUUGUUAGGGUCGCCCAGAAACGAGUGUUGAAUUUAACUGAAACUGGAAGCCAAUUCGGAUCCCAUGUUCCGGGCGCCCAGAAGUAGGUCCGGAAAUUUCACCUCGUGAAUAUCGCUUGCUUCGACGCGUGGCAGGGCGGUAGGUGAGUUCCGCCGGUGCCGUUUACGAGCGCAGCACACUGUGGGCGGAGAGUCCGAAGGGCCCGGUUUGUGCUGUCGGGAUGUUCUGGUCGCCCAGAACAUGGUUUUGGGCGCCCGGAAAUGCCCGUUUCUGCAGGGACAGCAGAUUGCAAGCUUUGUUCUUGAGGUUCAUUUGAUCCUAUUUUUCACCCUAUAAAUAGCUGAGCAGUGUCCCUGGUGAGCUCUUUUCCUCCUUUCUUCACAGAGAAACCCCUUUUGGCAUCUCAAACCUCGGAUUUGCUUCAAAUUGCAUCAAAUUUCCAUUGAUCCAGCUUGAUGGUGUGCUGAUUGUGCAGUUCUUCAGCGUCGACCUCCAGUGUUUUGGCUCGUGCGUGACGUAGGAAGGUCGGAUUUCGACGAAACUUGGUUUGCUGGAUUCUAGACUUCUAGAGGAAUCCACGAAGCCAUGAUUCGCAGAAUUUGGUGAAGGUUAACUCAGUCGAACUCAGGUUUUCCUCUGCUGCUGUUGCUGUGGACAGAAUUGUAAGUUUUUGAGUUCUUUUUGGGGUGAACUUUGGAAGCAGGGGCUUUGUGGAGUUGAGUCACGUUCCCCAUCACCCAGUACUGGAAUUGGGACCCUCUUCACCUGAUUUGGAGUUCAUUAGGUGAGUUUUGACAUUAGAAUUGGGAUAUUUUAGCUUAAGUGCUGUUUUGCUGAACUUCAUCGUCGACUGUUAGUAUUUCAGCUCGUACUCGACGUAGGAGCAACGGAUUUCGACGAGACUUGAUUCGUUGGUUUCGGGACUGCGAGAGGAAUCCACGAAGUCCUUACUUGUGGAUUUUGGUGAAGGUUAGCUUGGUCGAAACCCUUCUCUUCUCUGCUGCUGUGUAUUUGGACUGAAUUGUGGAUUUUGAUGUUGAUAGCUUGGAGAUAGCUUGAUUUUGAGACUCGGACAUUUUCAGUCGAUCCAGCAGGUUGUGCCGCAGCCGAGGGAGUUCCGUGCUGCCAGGAAUUGCACUAGAGGUGGGUGUAUCAUCGGUUUCGCUCCUAAGUGCAUGUUUAGUCGACGUGUAUAGUUCGAUUUUUGUAUAUCAUGCUUUAAUUCAUCGAUUAGCAUCUUGAAUGUAAUAUGAAUGUAGAAGCAUGCUGAAAUGAAUAUUUAAAUUAUACAUGUUGGACUUGAAAUUUGACUUAGGAGAAAACCUGCGUUUUGACCCGUCAUAUGCUUAAACUACCAGAUUUAGCUCUAGGAGCCGUGAUUCGAUUGUAUCGUUGCAGUAUCAGUGCGAUGGAUAUCUGGGGUAGUUUAGAAGGCAUUUACGCUCGUGCUGGGGUGCCGAGCUUAUUUUUCAGCAGAGUUUAGGCUGUUUCGGGUCGUUGGGUGCCGUUCGGGUUAGCGGUGGACCCAGAUUCUUGUUUUGGUCACAGAUUGUGCCGAGGGCACGUGGGUUUGGUUUGUAGACCUGUUUUGACCCUGUUCACUUGACUUUGGCUAGUUGGAGCCUGUUUGAGCUCGACAGAGAUACGCUGCAUACUCGGUUGGGUAGCGCCCACGAGUGCCACUCCGGAGUCAGGCUUUGUGCUUUCGCGUUGGUGUCGCUCAUGCCAGUUGGACUUGCUCUCCACGGACCAGUUAGUGUGGAUAGAGCCCGAUAGUCGCAACGGGGCAGGGACGGGUGUAUUCACAGUCCCGGGGACGGGUAUGCUUACAGUCCCGAUUGGAUUGGGUCAGAUUGGACAUUUCCUACAGUUGGUUAGUGUAGAGCAUGAUAGUGUAGUGAUCGAUAGCGGUAGAGUUUAUUUCCUGCUUUUCUGACUACUCUUGCUCCCUUCUGUAGACUUAGUGGGUGGACCGAUGUUGUUUUGGGCG